rnacentral:rRNA from 1 species
AACGAACGCUGGCGGCAGGCCUAACACAUGCAAGUCGAACGCCCCGCAAGGGGAGUGGCAGACGGGUGAGUAACACGUGGGAACGUACCUUUCGGUUCGGAACAACUCUGGGAAACUAGAGCUAAUACCGGAUACGCCCGUAAGGGGAAAGAUUUAUUGCCGAAAGAUCGGCCCGCGUCUGAUUAGCUAGUUGGUGAGGUAACGGCUCACCAAGGCGACGAUCAGUAGCUGGUCUGAGAGGAUGAUCAGCCACAUUGGGACUGAGACACGGCCCAAACUCCUACGGGAGGCAGCAGUGGGGAAUAUUGGACAAUGGGCGCAAGCCUGAUCCAGCCAUGCCGCGUGAGUGACGACGGCCCUAGGGUUGUAAAGCUCUUUUACCUGGGAAGAUAAUGACGGUACCAGGAGAAUAAGCCCCGGCUAACUUCGUGCCAGCAGCCGCCGUAAGAC